UGCAGUUGAUACUGUCAGUCUUGAGUACAGUAGAGGUGGGCGGAAUUCGUGGUGUAGCGGUGAAAUGCUUAGAUAUCACGAAGAACUCCGAUUGCGAAGGCAGCUCACUGGACUGCAACUGACACUGAUGCUCGAAAGUGUGGGUAUCAAACAGGAUUAGAUACCCUGGUAGUCCACACAGUAAACGAUGAAUACUCGCUGUUUGCGAUAUACAGUAAGCGGCCAAGCGAAAGCAUUAAGUAUUCCACCUGGGGAGUACGCCGGCAACGGUGAAACUCAAAGGAAUUGACGGGGGCCCGCACAAGCGGAGGAACAUGUGGUUUAAUUCGAUGAUACGCGAGGAACCUUACCCGGGCUUAAAUUGCAGUGGAAUGAUGUGGAAACAUGUCAGUGAGCAAUCACCGCUGUGAAGGUGCUGCAUGGUUGUCGUCAGCUCGUGCCGUGAGGUGUCGGCUUAAGUGCCAUAACGAGCGCAACCCUUAUCUUCAGUUACUAACAGGUCAUGCUGAGGACUCUGGAGAGACUGCCGUCGUAAGAUGUGAGGAAGGUGGGGAUGACGUCAAAUCAGCACGGCCCUUACGUCCGGGGCUACACACGUGUUACAAUGGGGGGUACAGAAGGCAGCUAGCGGGUGACCGUAUGCUAAUCCCAAAAUCCUCUCUCAGUUCGGAUCGAAGUCUGCAACCCGACUUCGUGAAGCUGGAUUCGCUAGUAAUCGCGCAUCAGCCACGGCGCGGUGAAUACGUUCCCGGGCCUUGUACACACCGCCCGUCAAGCCAUGGGAGCCGGGGGUACCUGAAGUACGUAACCGCAAGGAUCGUCCUAGGGUAAAACUGGUGACUGGGGCUAAGUCGUAACAAGGUAACCA
rnacentral:rRNA from 1 species